AGCAGCCGCGGUAAUUCCAGCUCCAAUAGCGUAUAUUAAAGUUGCUGCAGUUAAAAAGCUCGUAGUUGAAUUUCGGGACCAUCAUGUUGGUCGUGCCUAGGUACGUACUGGCAUUGUUGGUUUCUCCCUUCUGACGAACCAUGAUGUCAUUUAUUUGGUGUCGUGGGAAAUCAGGGACUGUUACUUUGAAAAAUUAGAGUGUUUAAAGCAGGCUCACGCUUGAAUACAUUAGCAUGGAAUAAUGAAAUAGGACGUUUGAUUCUAUUUUGUUGGUUUCUAGGAUCGACGUAAUGAUUAAUAGGGAUAGUUGGGGGCAUUAGUAUUCAAUUGUCAGAGGUGAAAUUCUUGGAUUUAUUGAAGACUAACUACUGCGAAAGCAUUUGCCAAGGAUGUUUUCAUUAAUCAAGAACGAAAGUUAGGGGAUCGAAGACGAUCAGAUACCGUCGUAGUCUUAACCAUAA
rnacentral:misc_RNA from 1 species